AAAAGAUGAUUCAUCUGAUGGCGAUCCGGGGACGAACAUGCCGAGAUACUCUGCCGGUGCUGAUGAAGACAUCGAUGUAUUCCAAAGCGGCACCAUGGGCGAUGAGCAGGAAGCACACGACUUGAUUGAUGAGGAGUACUACAUGUUUUGCAACGAAGGAUCCGAUAACGACAUAUUGGAUGAUGAAGAGGAAGCGAGCAUGUCUAGCGCUAAA